AUUGAACGCUGGCGGCAGGCCUAACACAUGCAAGUCGAACGAGUGGCGGACGGGUGAGUAAUGCCUGGGAAACUGCCUGAUGGAGGGGGAUAACUACUGGAAACGGUAGCUAAUACCGCAUACCAUCAGAUGUGCCCAGAGGGGAUUAGCUAGUUGGUGGGGUAACGACUCACCAAGGCGACGAUCCCUAGCUGGUCGGAGAGGAUGACCAGCCACACUAAACCUGAGACACGGUCCAGACUCCUGCGGGGGGCAGCAGGGGGAAAUAUUGCAAAAUGGGCGCAAGCCUGAUGCAGCCAUGCCGCGUGUAUGGAGAAGGCCUUCGAGUUGUAAAGUACUUUCAGCGGGAUGGCUUUACCCGCAGAAGAGGCACCGGCUAACUCCGUGCCAGCAGCCGCGGUAGUAC
rnacentral:rRNA from 1 species